CCCUACUAUCAGGGCUGAAGAGGACUGAACCUCAUGGGCAUCUAGAAGCAGUAGGGUGGCUCCCAGAAGGCAGAAAAUGGAGGAUAACCACAGGUUCCCUUCACCUCACAGUUUCAGAAAGAACCAAAGAACCGCAUGACCUUUCUGUCCAACAAGCCUGGAGUGACUGUUUAGUCCAAAACCGGCCCGUAACUUGACUGUGGAGCCUGACUUGGGUG
rnacentral:lncRNA from 1 species